rnacentral:tRNA from 1 species
CGGGGCGUAGCGCAGCCUGGUAGCGCACUUGCAUGGGGUGCAAGGGGUCGAGGGUUCGAAUCACUCCGUCCCGACCA